AGUAAACAAAGUCUGACUGGCUCACGCUCUCGGCCUCGAUCGCCAAUGAGGUGCUACCAUCUCAGAUCUAUAGUUAUAAGUAUCAAGCACGCAUCUAGAAUCAAGAAAUUCUUGAUUUUCUGAAGGAGCGAACAGCGCUUGUAACAGCAUGUCACGUACAGUCUUUGAAUCAAGAGUACAGCGGAUCUACGGAAGUGUUGAGGAGGUCAUUGACAAGGCUCAAAGAAAAGGCCGCUGAGGUGUAAGGUGUCUUUAUACACACCACGCUACAAAGCUAGGCUACAACAGACGAUGACGUAGUAUUUUCCUUACCCGUGUGACACUUAGUCUAGGGGGUUUCCGUUUUUUAUUUAUUAAAAAACGAAUAAACAUCUUUGAACUUCACCACGGCGUCCCAUACUCUUCAUAUUGUUUGGCUAUGAUUUAAACGGUGGAACAUAUACAUUGGCAACCUUCAAGGAAGUACUGUCGGAUAUAGAUGAAAUAGCAAACGAGGUCAGCCCGACAGGAAGACAUAUAUUGGGGAACAUUUGCAAUACAAUGUCAGACAGGGCU